CAAUAGCGUAUAUUAACGUUGUUGCAGUUAAAAAGCUCGUAGUUGGAUUUCUGGAGGGAGCGUCGGCCCGUAUUUACGAGUGCGUGACGUCUCUGUCCAUCCUUGCGGGAAGGCACGGCAUUGAUUUGUUGUGUCGGAUCGCAUCAUUUACUGUGAAAAAAUUAGAGUGUUCAAAGCAGGCUUUCGCUUGAAUACAUUAGCAUGGAAUAAUAAGAUAGGACUUUGGUGCUAUUUUGUUGGUUGAGCCUAAAGUAAUGAUUAAUAGGGAUAGUUGGGGGCACCUGUAUUGCGUUGUCAGAGGUGAAAUUCUUGGAUUUACGCAAGACAAACAGCUGCGAAAGCGUCUGCCAAGGAUGUUUUCAUUCA
rnacentral:rRNA from 1 species